UGGAAGUAAAAGUCGUAACAAGGUCUCCGUUGGUGAACCAGCGGAGGGAUCAUUACAGAGUUGCAAAACUCCCAUAACCAUUGUGAACCUUACCUUUAAUCGUUGCUUCGGCAGGCACCAACCAAGAGUCCCCUGGAACGGGGCGCCGUAGAGGGUGAGAGCCCCGUCUGGUUGGAGGUCUGUCUGCCGGAGGUACUUAAACUCUUGUUUAUUGCAUGGCCUCUCUGAGUAAACCAUUUAAAUAAGUCAAAACUUUCAACAACGGAUCUCUUGGUUCUGGCAUCGAUGAAGAACGCAGCGAAAUGCGAUAAGUAAUGUGAAUUGCAGAAUUCAGUGAAUCAUCGAAUCUUUGAACGCACAUUGCGCCCGCCAGUAUUCUGGCGGGCAUGCCUGUUCGAGCGUCAUUUCAACCAUCAAGCCCCAGGCUUGUGUUGGGGACCUGCGGCUGCCCGCAGGCCCUGAAAUACAGUGGCGGACUCGCUAGUAACUCCGAGCGUAGUAGUAACAUCUCGCUAAGGACGUGCUGCGGGUGCUGGCCGUAAAACCCCCCAAUUCUUAAGGUUGACCUCGGAUCAGGUAGGAAGACCCGCUGAACUUAAGCAUAUCAAUAAGCGGAGGAA
rnacentral:rRNA from 2 species